rnacentral:tRNA from 1 species
GGUCCGGUAGCUCAGCGGUUAGAGCAGGGGACUCAUAAUCCCUUGGUCCUAGGUUCGAAUCCUAGCCGGACUA